GAUGAACGCUGGCGGCGUGCCUAAUACAUGCAAGUCGAGCGAACAGACGAGGAGCUUGCUCCUCUGACGUUAGCGGCGGACGGGUGAGUAACACGUGGAUAACCUACCUAUAAGACUGGGAUAACUUCGGGAAACCGGAGCUAAUACCGGAUAAUAUAUUGAACCGCAUGGUUCAAUAGUGAAAGACGGUUUUGCUGUCACUUAUAGAUGGAUCCGCGCCGCAUUAGCUAGUUGGUAAGGUAACGGCUUACCAAGGCAACGAUGCGUAGCCGACCUGAGAGGGGGAUCGCCCCCACUGAAACUGAGACACGGCCCAGACUCCUACGGGAGGCAGCAGUAGGGAAUCUUCCGAAAUGGGCGAAAGCCUGACGGAGCAACGCCGCGUGAGUGAUGAAGGUCUUCGGAUCGUAAAACUCUGUUAUUAGGGAAGAACAAAUGUGUAAGUAACUAUGCACGUCUUGACGGUACCUAAGCAGAAAGCCACGGCUACUACGUG
rnacentral:rRNA from 1 species